UAAAUAAGGUCUCGUAGUGACCUGCGGAGGGUCAUUACCGAGUGGAGGGCGCCCCGGCGCCCGACCUCCCAACCCUUUGAUUUGAUCAAGACCUCCUUCUGCCUCGGGGGCGACCCGGCCCUCCCCCCUUCACGGGGGGCGACCCGGUCCCCCCGGCGGCGCCCCAACCAAACCCUGCAUCAAUUGUCGUCUGAUGUCUUUGAUAAAUUCAAUCAAAACUUUCAACAACGGAUCUCUUGGUUCUGGCAUCGAUGAAGAACGCAGCGAAAUGCGAUAAGUAAUGUGAAUUGCAGAAUUCAGUGAAUCAUCGAAUCUUUGAACGCACAUUGCGCCCUUUGGCAUUCCGAAGGGCAUGCCUGUUCGAGCGUCAUUACACCAAUCACGCCUGGCGUGGUUUGGGCGACGGGGCCGUCACACGCCCCGCGCCCCAAUGACCUUCCGGCGGGACGGACCGUAUCUCAGCGUUGUGCAUCACGUAUUCGCUGGCGAGGACGGGACGGCCGAGCCGUUAAACAACCCCCUUCUCAGGUUGACCUCGGAUCAGGUAGGGAUACCCGCUGAACUUAAGCAUAUCAAAA
rnacentral:rRNA from 1 species